rnacentral:rRNA from 1 species
UAGGGAAUAUUGCAAAAUGGGCGAAAGCCCGAUGCAGCAACGCCGCGUGGGCGAUGAAGGCCUUCGGGUCGUAAAGCCCUUUUUGAGGGGAUGAGGAAGGACAGUACCCUCAGAAUAAGCCUCGGCUAACUACGUGCCAGCAGCCGCGGUAAAACGUAGGAGGCGAGCGUUAUCCGGAUUUACUGGGUGUAAAGGGCGCGCAGGCGGGAUAAAAAGUCAGUGGUGAAAUCCUACAGCUUAACUGUAGAACUGCCUUUGAUACUUUUAUUCUUGAGUUCGGGAGAGNGAGACGGAAUUCCAGGUGUAGUGGUGAAAUACGUAGAUAUCUGGAAGAACACCAGUUGCGAAGGCGGUCUCUUGGUCCGACACUGACGCUGAGGCGCGAAAGCGUGGGGAGCAAACA